UGUAAGUACUAUAUAUAUAUAGCAGGGCUAAUAGUCCAGUAACCCUGCUCUCUCUCUCUCUCUCUCUCUAUAUAUAUAUAUAUAUGAAGAAGCCAUUCAUAAAAAGUAUAUUAUUUUUUUUUAUAUUUAAAAAAUUAUGAACAGAAUUUUAAUAUUACUAGACAAUGGCUCAGUUUGGUAUUAAGAUCAGUCUAACGCUAUUAGAUAGAAUAGAGUUAAGAAAAAGUAUAUAGAGAUAUGCUUAUGCGAUCUCUGAUGGGAACGCAAAAAAUAUAUCGUAAUCGACUAACUGCAAUAUGCGGAAUACAAUAUUACGUACGAAAACAAAUAUAAUCGUCGUUUCUCAUCGUACGUAACACAAGCUUCCCACAAUCCCAAAAGAAUUUCGGUGCACCAA
rnacentral:lncRNA from 1 species